rnacentral:rRNA from 1 species
CAAGUCGAACGGCAGCACGGGAGCUUGCUCCUGGUGGCGAGUGGCGGACGGGUGAGUAACACGUAGGAAUCUGCCUAGUAGUGGGGGAUAACCCGGGGAAACUCGGGCUAAUACCGCAUACGCUCUACGGAGGAAAGCGGGGGAUCUUCGGACCUCGCGCUAUUAGAUGAGCCUGCGUCCGAUUAGCUAGUUGGCGGGGUAAAGGCCCACCAAGGCGACGAUCGGUAGCUGGUCUGAGAGGACGAUCAGCCACACUGGAACUGAGACACGGUCCAGACUCCUACGGGAGGCAGCAGUGGGGAAUAUUGGACAAUGGGCGCAAGCCUGAUCCAGCAAUGCCGCGUGUGUGAAGAAGGCCUGCGGGUUGUAAAGCACUUUAAGCAGGAAAGAAGGCUUCGGAGCUAAUAUCUUCGAAGAUUGACGUUACCUGCAGAAUAAGCACCGGCUAACUCCGUGCCAGCAGCCGCGGUAAUACGGAGGGUGCGAGCGUUAAUCGGAAUUACUGGGCGUAAAGCGCGCGUAGGCGGUUUGCUAAGUCCGCUGUGAAAGCCCUGGGCUUAACCUGGGAACUGCAGUGGAUACUGGCAGGCUAGAGUAUGGUAGAGGAGAGUGGAAUUUCCGGUGUAGCAGUGAAAUGCGUAGAGAUCGGAAGGAACACCAGUGGCGAAGGCGGCUCUCUGGACCAAUACUGACGCUGAGGUGCGAAAGCGUGGGGAGCAAACAGGAUUAGAUACCCUGGUAGUCCACGCCGUAAACGAUGAGAACUAGCCGUUGGGUUCCUUCGGGAAUUUAGUGGCGCAGCUAACGCGAUAAGUUCUCCGCCUGGGGAGUACGGCCGCAAGGUUAAACUCAAAUGAAUUGACGG